GCAACCUCUUGGCCUCUUCCUACUCGACACACGGUACCUGGUGAUAUUACAGCUUAUCCUGCUGAAGCAAUUCAUAAUUUGGGUAUUGCUGUUCGAAACAUUGUUGAUGUGAACGAUUUACCGAUGGAGCAAUCAGGCACACCAUUUCCCGGAUACGCCCGGUUCCCGGAUCGCUCCACAUGCGGAGCCGGGUAUUCAGAUGUCACCGGUUUCGGUCUCAUCUGCCUUUGUUGACCACAACUGAGUGUGCAUCCCAUAACGAUACAAGCUUUCACAGUUCCAGACAGCUGAAGGUGUCCGACAUCCUUAUACUUAAGCGCAUGGUUCCACCAAAGCAAAACCCCAAACAACACAUAGUUCAAAUACUGCCACAAGCACUGCUUUCGAAAGUGGACAGCAGUCAGUCGCUAGUGGAUUGAACCCCGUCCGGUUCUUCAACAACAUCGUCGGUCAUGCAUACCUGAUUUAUAAUGGGAAAACGCAAGGAUCGUCUUCUGGCAGAAACACCCCAUGUGACGCCAUCAUCCAGUUCCCGAUCUCGAUUUUCUGGGGCUUCAUCCAAAAUGACAUCCUUCUUGGCUUCACUGAAUCCCGGCCGAUGGGAACACCAGUCGUCAUCUUCUCCGUCGCACUAUUUGAAUUCAUCCUUUGCGAAGGACGGUUCAAAUGCAUUGGCUAAGAGUCAGUCUAAUUCUGACAACAGUAAUUGCUGCCGUUAACCGAGAAAAGACAAGUCAGUGAAUCGCAUCACCUUCGUCAAUCGUUACUCGACGGAUGGCGUUGCGGCAACAAGUAGUGCGGAACAUCCGGCUUGUUCGAUUCUAUCCAAGUAGACGGCGUUCAUAAAAAGAGAUAAAAAGCUAGAUGAAAACCAGAGUAACUGCAUGUCAGCUCUGAAAGAGCUUCAAGAUACGAUCGAAAGUGACUUCAAAGGCAGACGAAAUGGCAAACCACUACGGUUUGAUGCGUGUUAUGUUGAGCUACAAAGUCUUUGCCAACCUUCCGCUGGAUGCUAACUUCUCGUGCUAUGUGACGCCGACCAUUAACCGUGCAUCGUUCAUUGUAUUUGUGCCAAAGUUAAAUGGAUGCGUUAGACAGUUGCAGCAGUUCCCAGUCAACGUGCAUAACUUUUCAGCUGACUUUGGAAGCCAUUCGAAAACAGUGUUCUUAAAUUUUUCAAUACGUACCAGCUGUAGAUAAAGCCUUUCUCUCGAAUGAAAUAGUUCAGACAUUAAGUGAUUAUGUGUAUCUAGCAGUAUCUAACUUUCAAUGACACCCCGAGUGUGCACAAAUCUACGUCAAAGAAAGGAAGGCACCGUUAAGAUAGAUUAAUUAAAUUAAAUUAAAACUUAACUUAAGAAAAAAAAUAAAAUUAAAUUGAAAUUAAAUUUAACAUUUCAUAAGACGAGUUAGUACUAUCUCACCCAUUUCCACCACUUGAUUGUAACUUCAACAUAAACGCCGUCUUCAGUGCCUCGUACUAAACUCAGUGUCUUUUCAUGCACUAUUCCUGCGCUAUACAAUUUAUUAAUUGAAUUAAAAUUAAUAGGAAUAAAUCAAAAUUAAACCAAAAGUGAAGAAGAUUAAAUUU